GCCCCGGUAGCUCAGCCCGGUCCGGAGCGCCCGCCUCGUAAGCGGGAGGUCCCGGGUUCGAAUCCCGGCCGGGGCU
rnacentral:tRNA from 1 species